GGCCAUGCCACUGCACCAUGUCAGUAUGGCUGUGAUUUCUGCGGUUCAUGAUGGCAAAUUCAAGCUAACCACAAAGUCUAUAGACAAUGUCCUGAAAGUUCUACGACAUCUGAAAGAUGUGGCGCUAGACAAUUUGAAAAUAGCUUGAUUUUCAAUUGAACAGAAAUGGAUUCUGGCACUAGACAAAUUGGAAAUAGCUUGAUCCUCAAUUGAACAGAUUUUGAAGCCUUAUAUUUUGCCGCGUAAUGUCCUAAUAACAUAUUAUGUAAAGCUGAAUAUUUGUGCUUCAUAUUCCUGUAUCAUAAUAUGUCAUGUUAUGUAGGUGAAUGUUUUCGAGAUUGGCAAUUCUGUUUUAAAUAUGUCAUUCAACCAACCCACAUCAGAUGAUAAAAAUGGCGUAGGAGUUUGCUUGUCAUGUCUGUUGUAAGGAAUUCUGUUUUCAAGGAUUAAAUGCUGCAGUUUCGUCAUCUUGCAAAUACCUUAUGAUAAGUGAAAAAAAAUCUGUAUGCAAAAACUUUCCUGGCCACAUGACAGUCGUUAAGAUUAGACAAGGAGAGAUUUACAGUUGAAUUUUCAUAUUCUUCUUUUAACUGAAAAAGCUAUUUGCUGAGUAUUGUAUUUAUAAAUUAUCUAUGGUACAUAUUUUAAGAUUCUUACUUAAUUUUUAGAAUGUAUAAUAUUUGAGUUUGUGUAUUUUACAAUGUGUUGUCAUAUUUUAUACAUUCUGCUUAAGUUCAAUUAAAUGAGGCUAAUUGUAAUAAAAUCAUUUUUAAAG